AGCGGCGGACGGGUGAGUAACGCGUGAGAAUCUGCCUUCAGGAUGGGGACAACGACUGGAAACGGUCGCUAAUACCCGAUGUGCCGAGAGGUGAAAGUAAUUCGCCAGAAGAUGAGCUCGCGUCAGAUUAGCUAGUUGGAGUGGUAACGGCACACCAAGGCGACGAUCUGUAGCUGGUCUGAGAGGAUGACCAGCCACACUGGAACUGAGACACGGUCCAGACUCCUACGGGAGGCAGCAGUGGGGAAUUUUCCGCAAUGGGCGAAAGCCUGACGGAGCAAGACCGCGUGGGGGAUGAAGGUUUGUGGAUUGUAAACCCCUUUUGACAGGGAAGAUGAUGACGGUACCUGUCGAAUCAGCAUCGGCUAACUCCGUGCCAGCAGCCGCGGUAAUACGGAGGAUGCAAGCGUUAUCCGGAAUUAUUGGGCGUAAAGCGUCCGUAGGUGGCCAACCAAGUCUGCUGUCAAAGCGCGAGGCUUAACUUCGUAAGGGCAGUGGAAACUGGGGGGCUAGAGUAUGGUAGGGGUCGAGGGAAUUCCCAGUGUAGCGGUGAAAUGCGUAGAUAUUGGGAAGAACACCGGUGGCGAAAGCGCUCGGCUGGACCAUAACUGACACUGAGGGACGAAAGCCAGGGGAGCGAAAGGGAUUAGAUACCCCUGUAGUCCUGGCUGUAAACGAUGGAUACUAGGUGUU
rnacentral:rRNA from 2 species